rnacentral:ncRNA from 1 species
UAGCUGGUGAAAAUCCAGUCAAUGUAACAACCAAGUGGCCUUGUAACUGACGGACAACUGGUGGAGGAAUCCUAAGGUUGAAGCUCGUGACAAAAUGACUCGAAAGAGUUGCGAGAGAGA